CUGCUUAUUUGACGUGUGUGUGCAUGCCCUGGAGGCACUGUUUAUUCCGAGAGUGUUUGAGGGGCUUCUGAGCAUGGUUUUCACACCUGUGUGGGUGCAUGUGGAGGCUUCAGGGUGAGUGCUGGCUACUGACACUGUGAGCACUGGGAACUAAAAAGUUGGCACAACGACUUCAUGUGGCCUGGCAUGCUACCCUUCAGGAGGGACAAGGUCCCUGACUCCAAUCCUGAGCCCUUUGCCCCAUGUUGGGUGGUGGAGCAACAGAACUGCUAGAGGCCCGGGACUGGCAUCCAGAGUGAGGUGGGAAAUCCCAUAUGCAAAUCCCAGGGAGGGGGAACUGCCACGUCCUGCUCCCUUUUUGUUCCCUGACAACUGUAGCUGAGAAUCAUGGGUCAGUCUGGGGCUAGUGCCGAUGGUGAGGCAGGAGAAGUGGCCGAAGUAGUAGGGCCCCAUGAGUGUCAGAUUGCAGCACAGGCUCCUCCUGUUCCUCUGGGAAGUAACCUGUCUCACCCCACUGGGCACCCCUGCACACCUGACCCCAUGCCUUCUUUCAUUGCUCCUGUGUUUCUCCCCUGGUCCCUAACCCCUAAGUGUAAUGUUCCCUGCAGGGUUCAUCACCAGCAGCCAGUCGGCAGCUUAUGCUAUCAGCAAGUUUGUCAGUGGGGUGCUGUCUGACCAGAUGAGUGCUCGCUGGCUCUUCUCUUCUGGGCUGCUCCUGGUUGGCCUGGUCAACAUAUUCUUUGCCUGGAGCUCCACAGUACCUGUCUUUGCUGCCCUCUGGUUCCUUAAUGGCCUGGCCCAGGGGCUGGGCUGGCCCCCAUGUGGGAAGGUCCUGCGGAAGGUGAGUGCUUCCAAAGAGCCUGUUUGGAUUGUCAUAGAGGAUGCCUAAAGAGCAUGUGGGAGCGCCCUUUCUUACCCACCACCUCCACACCCAACCCAGAGCAGGUUCCUGAGCAGUUCCUGGCCAGCUCCUAUUGCUUGUCAAGAUAUUUUAGGAGGCUGAGAGUGGUGGGAUCAGGUGGCAGAGGAGGAAACUGCCCUGCCAAACAGAAGCGCCCUCUCCCUCUUCCCUGUAAUGUGAGCUUCUGGGGCUGCCCCAUCUGACCCCACCCUCAACAUGGGCAGUAGGCUGGACACCUACGUGUCGCCCUCUGCCCCACAGUGGUUUGAGCCAUCUCAGUUUGGCACUUGGUGGGCCAUCCUGUCAACCAGCAUGAACCUGGCUGGAGGGCUGGGCCCUAUCCUGGCAACCAUCCUUGCCCAGAGCUACAGCUGGCGCAGCACGCUGGCCCUAUCUGGGGCACUGUGGUGUGGUUGUCUCCUUCCUCUGUCUCCUGCUCAUCCACAAUGAACCUGCUGAUGUUGGACUCCGCAACCUGGACCCCAUGCCCUCUGAGGGCAAGAAGGGCUCCUUGAAGGAGGAGAGCACCCUGCAGGAGCUGCUGCUGUCCCCUUACCUGUGGGUGCUCUCCACUGGUUACCUUGUGGUGUUUGGAGUAAAGACCUGCUGUACUGACUGGGGCCAGUUCUUCCUUAUCCAGGAGAAAGGACAGUCAGCCCUUGUAGGUAGCUCCUACAUGAGUGCCCUGGAAGUUGGGGGCCUUGUAGGCAGCAUCGCAGCUGGCUACCUGUCAGACCGGGCCAUGGCAAAGGCGGGACUGUCCAACUACGGGAACCCUCGCCAUGGCCUGUUGCUGUUCAUGAUGGCUGGCAUGACAGUGUCCAUGUACCUCUUCCGGGUAACAGUGACCAGUGACUCCCCCAAGCUCUGGAUCCUGGUAUUGGGAGCUGUAUUUGGUUUCUCCUCGUAUGGCCCCAUUGCCCUGUUUGGAGUCAUAGCCAACGAGAGUGCCCCUCCCAACUUGUGUGGCACCUCCCACGCCAUUGUGGGACUCAUGGCCAAUGUGGGCGGCUUUCUGGCUGGGCUGCCCUUCAGCACCAUUGCCAAGCACUACAGUUGGAGCACAGCCUUCUGGGUGGCUGAAGUGAUUUGUGCGGCCAGCACGGCUGCCUUCUUCCUCCUACGAAACAUCCGCACCAAGAUGGGCCGAGUGUCCAAGAAGGCUGAGUGAAGAGAGUCCAGGUUCCGGAGCACCAUCCCACGGUGGCCUUCCCCCUGCACGCUCUGCGGGGAGAAAAGGAGGGGCCUGCCUGGCUAGCCCUGAACCUUUCACUUUCCAUUUCUGCGCCUUUUCUGUCACCCGGGUGGCGCUGGAAGUUAUCAGUGGCUAGUGAGGUCCCAGCUCCCUGAUCCUAUGCUCUAUUUAAAAGAUAACCUUUGGCCUUAGACUCCGUUAGCUCCUAUUUCCUGCCUUCAGACAAACAGGAAACUUCUGCAGUCAGGAAGGCUCCUGUACCCUUCUUCUUUUCCUAGGCCCUGUCCUGCCCGCAUCCUACCCCAUCCCCACCUGAAGUGAGGCUAUCCCUGCAGCUGCAGGGCACUAAUGACCCUUGACUUCUGCUGGGUCCUAAGUCCUCUCAGCAGUGGGUGACUGCUGUUGCCAAUACCUCAGACUCCAGGGAAAGAGAGGAGGCCAUCAUUCUCACUGUACCACUAGGCGCAGUUGGAUAUAGGUGGGAAGAAAAGGUGACUUGUUAUAGAAGAUUAAAACUAGAUUUGAUACUG
rnacentral:lncRNA from 1 species